UGACUACUUGGCAUCUCGUGUCCUUCUGAUAUCAAGAGAUCGUCCAGCGCUGUGGAGGCACUUAUAAUAGGCAUUUGUGAUAUAUGCCUGUUGCUACUGGUGUAAUUUGUUUAGGUAAUAGGAUUAUCGGGGUGACAAUGCGCUUCUGUUUAUUUUGUAAUGCAUGCUAUGUGAGAUUAAAAACAAUAGUAAUAUUUAUUGAAGCAAAGCUUAUUGAUACAUAUAUAUCGGAUGAUCACCUCUUACAACGUUGUGUUUGUAUUCUCAGAAAAGGAAACUGCACUUUGCCACAGCCCACAGGAAUGAGAAAGUGAAUAACAAGUUUCCACUCAGAAGAGGGAUCUUUAGUUUCAUCCCUGGAGUAGAGAUUGAUGAUGUAUACUCCUUUUGUACUGAAAUAAUUGCCAUGUCUGGAAGUCAGACAGUUUACUUUUUCACUUUUCUGGAUAUCAGUUGGAUGCUAUGGUUGGAUUCCCGCG
rnacentral:misc_RNA from 1 species